GGGGGGGGGGGGUGAGGUUUAGCAUGCGCAUGCGCAAUGCGCACGAGCGCCUUUAACACGUGAUUGAUGAGCCGGUUUUUUUCUUGAAUUCGCGUUUGCUUUUCUUGCAAACAGUUUCCUGGGAAAGAAGAACGAGCAAAUAGAAAAGGCAAAGUGGGAAGACCCAUUUCCGGUGAGGAGAUGGCAUCUCAGAGGGGCUAUGUGACUUGCUGAAUGUUGCCCAAAUGUUAAGUCACAGGACUUGAACUCAGGACUCCUCAACUCAGAAUCUGCCCCCAUUCCCUGGCUGUGAGUCUUCUCUGCUUCAUGGAGCUGCACUGAGAUGGGAGAGCGACAGGCCCUGUGCAUAUGUUGCCAGUGGGUGGAAAGCUGCGGACUUCAUCCCUGUGUGUGGAAGAAGAGCUUAGACAGAUGGACAGAUGGGUAGGCACUCAUACUUACACCCCGCACCUGGACUCUCAGUUCCUAAGACCUGGAUAGGCACAGAGUUUCAUGCUUUGGCCCUCACACAGUGUGAGGUCUGCUUAAGUGAUGGUCAUCCCUUCCAAUCCAUAUGGCAGCUUCAUCUCAAUGGCAACCCGUGGAGACCUUGGGGACCAAGGAGGAGCGUACCAGGAGCAAAUUAUGAGAGAUCUUCCCUGGAGCAUGAUCAGCUUGGUUUCUGGCUUCUUGGUUCCUUGGUUCCUCUUGACCAUGUGAGGAGACAGAACAUGAGCCCCCCAGGGACGGAGCAACUCCUAAACCCCACUGGAUCAAUAAGGCUUAUUCUUCUGGAUCUCAAAUUCCAUGGCGUGUUCUCUCAAGGGGCAGUUGUAGAAACAAGCAGAUCACUCCCCUAAAAAAUGGAAAAGUACGUCACUUACGACAGGUCCUGCUAUAUUACCCAAGCUGGUCUAGAACUCCUUGCCUCAAGCCAUCCUCCUGCCUUGGCCUCCCAAAAUGCCAAGAUUGGCAUGAGCCGCUGCAUACCCAGCCUGCCAUGUGACAUCUGAGACUAGAUCAUAGAAUGCUGUGAGCUUCCAUCUGGCUUUCAUAGACAGGAUGCUAGCUCUUGGAACUCAGCCGCCAUGUUGUGAGGAAGUUCAAAUCAUCCCACAUGGAGAGGCCUAUGAAAGUGCUGUAGCUCACAGCCCAGCUGAGGUCCUGGCUGAGAGCCUGCAUCAUCUGCCAGGCAUGAGUGAAGAUACUUCCGGAUGAUUGUAGCUCCCACUCAUCAGAUCACUCCCAACUUGGAUUCUUCCCAGCAGAGGUUCCAGACCAUAGAGCAGAGAUUACCUUUCCCUGCUCUGCUUUGUCCAAGUUCUGGGCUAUAAAAUCUACAAGCAUGAUAAUACGAUUGUUUUACACCAGAAGGUUUUGGGGUGGUUUGUGACAUAGCAACUGGUACAGAAAUUAUUUACUAACAAGCAGGUGUCUAUCUCAAGGGGGAAAGUCUUAUGGUCAUUUUUGCACCCUUUUCUGGGGCAAAUAUGAUUGGUAAGGACAAUGUCCAUCAUAGCACUAUUGCUUCAUCAGAGGCAGUUUGGAUGGAUGAGCUUUUCCUUGUUCUUUAGUUACAAUAUGUUAUAAUAGCUUACUUGUCCAUUUCCCGCUGACUAGAAUGUGAGUUCCCUAUGAUAGGUCCCCCCCCCGCCAUUUUGUUUGUUCCUGUAUUCCGCAAACCCAACCAGUACAGGUGUUCCUCAGCUUAUGAUGGGGUUACAUCCAAAUAAAUCCACCGUAAGGUUGAAAAGUCCCAAGUUGAACCAGCUUAAGUUGAGGACCAUCUGUGCUUAGUAGUUGUUCAAUAAAUAAUUGUCAGAUGAAUGGUCACGAAACAAACAUCAAGUGGGCAAAAGUUUCAAUAACGAUUCCUGGAGAGAAUUCUAGCAUUAGCAUCUUCUAGUUGUUAUGUAAUGUAAAAUUAUUGUUUGGAUAAGGACAAGUUCACAUUGUGGUGGGAAUUUCUGGAGAGUCAUAGUUAAGAGUUCCCACUUUUUCUUGAAAUAGUGAAUGCAAAAGAAUCAGUGGGCAAGGUAUGAUGAGUGUUAGGGGGACGGCAGGUCCAUACUCAGGAGUUUGUUCAAGGAAUUGGUUCCUGAGUACUCUCUAAAAGGAUUUGGUAUCAGUCAACAAGGAAGAAUUGAUUCGAGUAGACUCUCCUUUGUUGCCUGGCGUAUGCUGGGCAUAGGGACCACAAAAGAGUGUAAGAUGCAGACGCUGUCCUCAACUGUGUUGAGUCCAGCUGGAGAGAGAAGAUUGAGUCUGUACUUAGAUAGCCCAGUAUGGCAAGCUGGGUGCAGUGGUGAAUCUGAUAGGGUUUUGCCAGCUGAAACCCUAUCAGCCCCGUCUGCUCCCAAGGGUGAGAGAAUGUCAAGGAGGACUUCCUGGAGGAGGCCAGUUAAAGGGGAUUGAUGAGUUGGCCAGGUGGGCAGUUUCCUGAUGCACUCAUCAGAGGAACACCGAAACACCACAGAAAUUCAUCAGAAAUCUGCUGCAUGUUAACUCGGGUUUCCACCUGCAGGUUCUCUCAUAGCUGGUGGAAAUGAAAUUGGUGUCCCUUUUGCCAAAAUAGACAAUACCCCUAAGUAGAAAGAAAAACUAUUCUUCCCCAGCACAAGCCUACCUCUGUGGGGGUAUUUCCGCAGUGUGCAUUGCAAGUUGCUGCAUCCACUGGCCAGCCUGGGUCUGAGACCAGCCUGCUGGCAGCCCCUGCAGUGAGCAUGGCUGGGCAGCCUGAAUUCUGAAACCAAUUAAUGCACUGCAAAGGACCGUUUACCAAGAAGGCAUCCGCAAGCCUUAAAAAAUAUCUCCUAAGAAGUUGUCCACCUGUAGACCCAGCUACUUGGGAGGCUGAGACUGGAGGAUUAGUUAAGCCUGGGAGAUUGAGGCUGUGGUGAGCUAUGAUCUCAUCACCGCACACCAGCUUCAGCAGCCAAGUGAGACUCUCACUGCAACCACAAAUGCCUGAAAACAGCGAUAAAUAAAUAUAGAAUGAGACUGGUUA